UGACCGUAGAUUGUCACUCGAUUGGGACACUGGCAAGACUCAUCAUUACUACCAGUGUCAUGUAGCUUCAGAUGGAAGUUACACGUUCAAGACAGUGUUUUGACAGGGACUUCUUCUUGUCUCUUGAACCCGUUGGAACAUACUUGCAAAAGGUCUUGGGUGAUGAUAAUGUUUUGACGGUCGUAUUUGAGGAUCUCCAGAAAAA